UGUAUUUUUAUCAAAAUAUUCCGAAAUUAUGUCGAAACCGAUAAAAAGUGGCGUGAGAAGUAUGUUGUAUACUAUGAUAAAUAAUUACGAACAUUUAAAAAGUGAAUUCAAUGAAGCUGCGAUGGAAAAACAACGCCUUUUGGAUGAAAUCCUGUCCGCGUCAGCUCGUGUGGAUGAUGAAGUUAGAAAUUCAAUUCAAGGUCUAGUUCUGGAGUUACAAAAAAGUCAAGAAAAUGAGAUGUGGAAUUCAAAGUCACGAUAUAUAACACAAAUCAGCACCAUGACAGGAGUAAGUGUUAGAACAUUACGACG